AUUGAACGCUGGCGGCAGGCCUAACACAUGCAAGUCGAGCGGAUGAAGGGAGCUUGCUCCUGGAUUCAGCGGCGGACGGGUGAGUAAUGCCUAGGAAUCUGCCUGGUAGUGGGGGAUAACGUCCGGAAACGGGCGCUAAUACCGCAUACGUCCUGAGGGAGAAAGUGGGGGAUCUUCGGACCUCACGCUAUCAGAUGAGCCUAGGUCGGAUUAGCUAGUUGGUGGGGUAAAGGCCUACCAAGGCGACGAUCCGUAACUGGUCUGAGAGGAUGAUCAGUCACACUGGAGAUGAGACACGGUCCAGACUCCUACGGGAGGAAGCAGUGGGGAAUAUUGAACAAAGGGCGAAAGCCUGAUCCAGGCAUGCCGCGUGUGUGAAGAAGGUCUUCGGAUGGUAAAGCACUUUAAGUUGGAAGGAAGGGCAGUAAGUUAAUACCUGGCUGUUUUGACGUGACCAACAGAAUAAGCACCGGCUAACUUCGU
rnacentral:rRNA from 1 species